rnacentral:lncRNA from 1 species
UCUUUCUGUGUAGUAGUUGCAUUCAAGAGACAAGAGUAUCUCACUUUAUUUCUACAAUGGCAGCUACUACAAUGGCUCUUUCUUCCUCUUCUUUUGUCGGAAAGGCGGUGAAACUCUCACCGUCUUCCUCUGAGAUCACCGGAAAUGGAAAAGUCACCAUGAGGAAGACUGUUACCAAGGCCAAGCCAGUCUCUUCUGGCAGCCCAUGGUAUGGUCCUGAUCGUGUCAAGUACUUGGGCCCAUUCUCCGGUGAGUCUCCAAGCUACUUGACUGGUGAGUUUCCUGGUGAUUACGGAUGGGACACUGCUGGACUUUCAGCUGAUCCAGAAACUUUUGCUAAGAACCGUGAGCUAGAGGUGAUCCAC